GUUGUCAGCGGGCAGGAUGUCAUGUGGAUGCGGGCUGCUGGUCCCCCUAUGCCGGCUCCGAGCCGCUGAUGAUGAACACCUCCACAGGCCGGGUGAGGAGACCUGACAGCCGGCCGCCCUGAUGCCUCUCCGCGGUAUCUCUGGUUCCUCCUCUCGGAGCCGUGAGACAGCCUCCAGCCGCCGGUCCUCUGUCUCACCGCCGGUCUCCAGCAUCUGGACCCGGACCAGGUGACAGUCUGGCGGGUCCUCCCCCUGCGGCGCGGGGCGGAGUUUCAUACCGGACUAGACGCUCCUUUUGUCGGAUUCGUUUCGAGCGGACUCCCCGGGGUUUACGGCCGAAAAACACACACUUCGAGAGCCCCGAAAUAACCCGCGGUAGCCCAGCGGUGCGCGGUGUUUACCCGGGUCUCUGUCUCUACCUAAAGACGGACUGCUCUCCAUCAUCGCUGCAUGAUGAACGGCAGCAGCGUCUCGGCGGCUCAGAGCUCCAGGAUAAAAAAUGAACCAGAUGACUGGACGAAAGAGGACUGUCUGACUCUGCUGGAGAAGAUCC